rnacentral:rRNA from 1 species
GAAGCAGUGGGGGGCAUUAGUAUUCCGGCGCGAGAGGUGAAAUUCUUAGACCGUCGUAAGGCUAACUAAAGCGAAAGCAUUUGCCAAGGAUGUUUUCAUUAAUCAAGAACGAAAGUUA